CUAGCUUGCUAGAUUGAUGGCGAGUGGCGAACGGGUGAGUAAUACAUCGGAACGUGCCCUGUAGUGGGGGAUAACUAGUCGAAAGAUUAGCUAAUACCGCAUACGACCUGAGGGUGAAAGUGGGGGACCGCAAGGCCUCAUGCUAUAGGAGCGGCCGAUGUCUGAUUAGCUAGUUGGUGGGGUAAAGGCCCACCAAGGCGACGAUCAGUAGCUGGUCUGAGAGGACGAUCAGCCACACUGGGACUGAGACACGGCCCAGACUCCUACGGGAGGCAGCAGUGGGGAAUUUUGGACAAUGGGGGCAACCCUGAUCCAGCAAUGCCGCGUGUGUGAAGAAGGCCUUCGGGUUGUAAAGCACUUUUGUCCGGAAAGAAAUCGCACCUGAUAAUACCGGGUGUGGAUGACGGUACCGGAAGAAUAAGGACCGGCUAACUACGUGCCAGCAGCCGCGGUAAUACGUAGGGUCCAAGCGUUAAUCGGAAUUACUGGGCGUAAAGCGUGCGCAGGCGGUUGUGCAAGACCGAUGUGAAAUCCCCGAGCUUAACUUGGGAAUUGCAUUGGUGACUGCACGGCUAGAGUGUGUCAGAGGGGGGUAGAAUUCCACGUGUAGCAGUGAAAUGCGUAGAGAUGUGGAGGAAUACCGAUGGCGAAGGCAGCCCCCUGGGAUAACACUGACGCUCAUGCACGAAAGCGUGGGGAGCAAACAGGAUUAGAUACCCUGGUAGUCCACGCCCUAA
rnacentral:rRNA from 1 species